GAUGAACGCUGGCGGCGUGCCUAAUACAUGCAAGUCGAGCGAACAGACGCGGAGCUUGCUCCUCUGACGUUAGCGGCGGACGGGUGAGUAACACGUGGAUAAUCUACCUAUAAGACUGGGAUCACUUCGGGAAACCGGCGAAAAUACCGGAUAAUAUAUUGAACCGUAGGGUUCAAUAGUGAAAGACGGUUUUGCUGUCAGGUAUAGAUGGAUCCGCGCCGCAUUAGCUAGUUGGUACGGUAACGGCUUAUCAAGGCAACGAUGCGUAGCCGACCUGAGAGGGGGAUGGGCCACUCAGGAGCUGAGACGCGAUCCAGACACCUACGUGAGGCAGCGGUAGGGAAUCUACCGCAAUGGGCGAAAGCCUGACGGAGGGACGGCGCGUGAGUGAUGAAGGUCUUCGGGUCGUAAAACUCUGUUAUUAGGGAAGAACAAAUGUGUAAGUAACUAUGCACGUCUUGACGGUACCUAAACAGAAAGCCACGGCUAACUACGG
rnacentral:rRNA from 1 species